UCUGAAUACUGAACUGGGAGGACGUGAUUUGGUGAUGGCAUUACAAGCCUAUUUCAGUUAACUGAAGAAAGUGUUGAUAUCUUCAGACGUAAACUCAGUUUCAGGUCUCUAGUGGUGUUGUCUGAAUUCUGUGUGCUUGCCUAAAUCGUUGAUGUUGCACAUGCAGAUUAGCUGUUCAUUUCUCUCUAGUGGUGUUCAUUUGUUUUAAUAGUGCUCCUUUCAAUUUCGUGCCACUGCCCGCCAUGGUAUUGGAGAACUGAAUAUUUUGGUGCGGUGUGUAAAACCUAUUAGAGGUAGUAGUUGGAGUGUUGAUCAGAUCAGCCUCUCCGGUUAUACAAUUCCAAGUACAAUCCUGGCAUGUGCACUAUUUGGUGGCCUUUGGCAAGUGGCAGCGCUAGGUUCUUGACGUUCGCUA
rnacentral:lncRNA from 1 species